rnacentral:rRNA from 1 species
UGGGGAAUAUUGCACAAUGGGCGCAAGCCUGAUGCAGCCAUGCCGCGUGUGUGAAGAAGGCCUUCGGUUGUAAAGCACUUUCAGCGAGGAGGAAGGUGGUGAGCUUAAUACGCUCAUCAAUUGACGUUACUCGCAGAAGAAGCACCGGCUAACUCCGUGCCAGCAGCCGCGGUAAUACGGAGGGUGCAAGCGUUAAUCGGAAUUACUGGGCGUAAAGCGCACGCAGGCGGUUUGUUAAGUCAGAUGUGAAAUCCCCGGGCUCAACCUGGGAACUGCAUUUGAAACUGGCAAGCUAGAGUCUCGUAGAGGGGGGUAGAAUUCCAGGUGGUAGCGGUGAAAUGCGUAGAGAUCUGGAGGAAUACCGGUGGCGAAGGCGGCCCCCUGGACGAAGACUGACGCUCAGGUGCGAAAGCGUGGGGAGCAAACAGUUAGAUACCCUGGUAGUCACGCCU